AUUGAACGCUGGCGGCAUGCCUUACACAUGCAAGUCGAACGGUAACGCGGGGCAACCUGGCGACGAGUGGCGAACGGGUGAGUAACGCAUCGGAACGUGCCCAGUAGUGGGGGAUAGCCCGGCGAAAGCCGGAUUAAUACCGCAUACGACCUACGGGUGAAAGAGGGGGAUCGCAAGACCUCUCGCUAUUGGAGCGGCCGAUGUCAGAUUAGGUAGUUGGUGGGGUAAAGGCCUACCAAGCCUACGAUCUGUAGCUGGUCUGAGAGGACGACCAGCCACACUGGGACUGAGACACGGCCCAGACGCCUACGGGAGGCAGCAGUGGGGAAUUUUGGACAAUGGGCGCAAGCCUGAUCCAGCCAUGCCGCGUGCGGGAAGAAGGCCUUCGGGUUGUAAACCGCUUUUGUCAGGGAAGAAACGCUCUGGACUAAUACUCUGGGGUAAUGACGGUACCUGAAGAAUAAGCACCGGCUAACUACGUGCCAGCAGCCGCCGUAA
rnacentral:rRNA from 1 species